GCUUGUCUCAAAGAUUAAGCCAUGCAUGUCUAAGUAUAAAUAUCUAUACUGUGAAACUGCGUAUGGCUCAUUAAAUCAGUUAUAGUUUAUUUGAUGAUACCCCACUACAUGGAUAACCGUAGUAAUUCUAGAGCUAAUACAUGCGUCAAAUCCCGACUUUUUGGAAGGGAUGUAUUUAUUAGAUAAAAAACCAACCCUUCGGGUUUCUUGGUGAUUCAUAAUAACUGUGCGGAUCGCUUUUUAAGCGAUAAAUCGAUUGAGUUUCUGCCCUAUCAGCUUUGGAUGGUAGGAUAUGGGCCUACCAUGGCGUUAACGGGUAACGGGGAAUUAGGGUUUGAUUCCGGAGAGGGAGCCUUAGAAACGGCUACCACAUCCAAGGAAGGCAGCAGG
rnacentral:rRNA from 1 species